ensembl:lncRNA
CCACAUUCCUGCAGGCGGGCAGUCGGAGGAUUAUCAUUCAUAUUUCGCAGAGGAGGAAACAGACUCUGAGAGGGGUAGUCAGUAGCAGGUUCAGGAUUCAAACCUAGACCCUCCUUCUGCAUCCUUUCCCUCAUAGAAUGCUGCCUCUUCUCUGGAGGCCUGGCAUCCAGUGAACUUUUCUUGUUUCAGGAAGCUUCUUCGCCCAUUGGAAGACACAGAUCCGAACUAGCCACGGAAUCUGAGGAGGCAGAGUCUGGCUGGCUCCAGCCUGACAGCUGGCCCCAAGACCCCACCAUUCUCCCUCAUUGCGCUGGCAGCCAGGGAUCCCUGAAAAGGAAGAACUGAGAAAUUCUUCUUCAUAAAAGGCCUUGAAUCAAUGAUCAAGGACAAUAUUAAUCCCAUCCUGACACAUUUUGAGCGGAGUCAAGCAAUAUAAGGGAGAAAUUUGAUUUAUCUCUUUGGGACUGGGCACAAGUUAUAAAAAUGGUAAUUUUUUCCAAGAGAUUCAAUUAUGGUAUUUUCAUUGUUAUCCCUAGGUAAUCAUGAGAAUGGUUUUUAAAGACCAGUUGCUGGAGGAUUGGGAGCAAAGUGGCAGCAGGAGGGAUCAGGAGAUGCUGCGGACACCCCAAGCCCCAUCUGUGUGGGAAAGAAAUGCUUCCUGGGGGCUUCAGGUUGGCAGAUGGCGGCACCUUUGGCCUUGAUCCCUUUGGUCAAUUCAACACCUACUGUAUGAGAGCCCUGUGGAGGGUCCUGGGGAGGGUUCAUAGAGGGUCUUUUCUGGAAGGAGUCCUAGAACGGAGAAUGCCAGUACGGAGAGACAGACCUCUGAGAGGCGACCCUCAUUUCACAGAUGCAGAAAUGGAGGCUCAGAAAGGAGGCAGCAUGUGCCCGAGUCCCCGCCACCCCCAGCCGGAUCCUUGGCACUGUCCUGAGCUGGCCUAACCUGUUUAUAUCUGUUUGUUUCUUGGAGAUGGUUGGAGUGGAGCUGAUUGGAUCUGCCCUGAUUAUUUCUGCGCCCAGAUGUAAUGACUCCACAUAAAGUCCCUGAGAUUAAUCAAGAAUGUGAGGAAACCGGCACCUGAUGAUUGGAAAACGGGCUUUAUGGCCCAUGGGGCAAAAUUGAACUUGCAUCUGAUGCACGUUUUUAAAAUAGAAUUUUUUUUUAAUAGAUUGCCUACAAUUUAUGUUUGGCGUUAAUUGUGUUAUCAGUGGGAAAUUCAUUGGAAGCCAUGUUUCCCUCUCCACCCCAGCAAACUUGAUUUUUCAAAAUCAUCUUCAUCUGAGACAGGCGUGCUAGGGCCUCGGGCAGCUGAGGUGUCUGAGCCAGAGGUGGCAGGUGGCAGGAUUAAUGUCAAGGUCAGUCCCCAGUGGGGGAUUCCAUUGCAGCAUGGCUCAGGCUAGCUGGCUGUUGGAAUCCACAGCCACUCAAAGCUUCUGGGGUUUCCCAGGAAUUGCUAGGACUGGUUACUCAGGAGGAGAUAGCGAUGUCCCCAGGGCCCGAGGAAGUGUGGCUGCCACCAGAACCUGCUUUCCAUUCUCAGACUCCACUUCCCCCCAAGUGGCUCCCUUCGAUCUGCUUGUAGUAAAUACUCUCCCACGCCUGCCUCUUUCCAAUAAUUGAACUUAUUUAUUUUUAACUAAGAUUGAAUGCUCCCCAGGAGCCCAAGAGGCACAGUGUGUCUUUCGGGAGUCAGGACAAAUCUCUCUCUCUCUCUCUCUCUCUCUCUCUCUCUCUCUCUCUCUCUCUCUCUCUCUCUCUCUCAGUAUGGCUCUGCUACUAACCCUCAUCUGAACCUCUGUUUCUCCAUCUGUAAAGUGGGGAUAAUGGGCCAUGCAUUCCCUACCUCACAGAGUUUGUUGUUUUUUUUCCCCCAGGGCAAGCAUUUCACAAACCUGAAAGCCCCAGAGAAGUGAGAUUUAUUAAUAUUAUUAUUGCAUGUAUUAUUAUUUUUAAACAAUUUAUUUAUUUUUAGUUUUUAACAUUCACUUCCAUAAGAUUUUGAGUUUUAAAUUUUCUCCCCCUCCCCCUCCUCUUCCCCCUUCCUUCUCCCCAAGACUGUGUGCAAUAUGAUAUGGGCUUUACAUGUACAAUCAUAUUAAGCAUAUUUUCACAUUAGUCAUGAUGUAAAGAACAAUUAGAACUGAUGAGAGGAACCACGAGGAAUAAGAAACAAAACAAAACAACAAAAGAAAAGGAGAGCAAAUAGUCUGCUUCCAUCUACCCUCAGACUUCAUAGUUCUUUCUCUGGAUGAGCCUUUUGGAGUUGUCUUAGAUCCUUACACGCAUGUAUUAUUGUUAAUAUGAUGACUCCAAAACCAAGAUGCAGUUGUAAUCUCAUGGGGCGCCACCUAGUGGAUGGGAUCUAGAGUCAGAAAUAAAUCAAUGGAUUGAUCAAUCCA